GGGGUGUGCUCAGAGCAGACAGCUAUAUGAAUGGCUCCUCUGUUUAAAACACAUCCAAGAGGAAUCUGGGUUUACUCCUCACAGGUGGCAAGAUACACUGGCCUUCCUGUGACAUCAUACCCUAUAUAU
ensembl:snoRNA